rnacentral:lncRNA from 1 species
GGGAGACAUAUAGGUUAGACAGUAAGACAAGCAACCGCAUUCCCAUGAGACUUUAGUUAGCGCCCAGUAAGUCUACAUUUUACAUAAGAUAAGGUGAAAGUUUCAACAGGAAGAGGAAGUAAAGAAGAAGUCAAUUAUGAAGAUAUUGCUGGAUCCAGUAAAGACUGCGCGUCUGACACCUUUAAAAGUCUCAAAAGGAAACAUUUACCAUCUGUUCUUUCUGAGGGAGGCUUCAUCUAUAUAACAAGAAGACCACCUUUGCUAGCCAAGCCACCUUUUUUCCCCCUUCCCACAAACUGUUUUACCAGAAUCCAAGCCCCCAUUCUUUCUGUAACCUCUAAAUGGUAUAUAAAUUUCUG